UUCCGUAGCAAUACGGAAUGGCGCACGGCGCACGGGUGCGUAACACGUGGGUAAUCUGCCCUCUGAUGGGGAAUAACUCGCCGAAAGGCGAGCUAAUUCCGCAUAAUAUUCCGAAAAUUUCGAUUUUCGGACUGAAAGGCGUAAGUCGUCGGAGGAGGAGCCCGCGCACGAUUAACUAGUUGGUAGGGUAAUGGCCUACCAAGGCUGUGAUCGUUAGCUGGUCUGAGAGGAUGGCCAGCCACACUGGAACUGAGACACGGUCCAGACUCCUACGGGAGGCAGCAGUGGGGAAUCUUGCACAAUGGGCGAAAGCCUGAUGCAGCGACGCCGCGUGGGGGAUGAAGCUUCUCGGAGUGUAAACCCCUUUCGAUCCGGACGAAUGCCCGCAAGGGAGUGACGGUACGGAUAUAAGAAGCCCCGGCUAACUACGUGCCAGCAGCCGCGGUAAUACGUAGGGGGCCAGCGUUGUUCGGAAUUACUGGGUGUAAAGGGUUCGUAGGCGGUGCGGCAAGUUGGGAGUGAAAUCUCUGGGCUCAACCCAGAGACGGCUUCCAAAACUGCUGUGCUUGAGUGUGAGAGAGGCUCGUGGAAUUGCAGGUGUAGCGGUGAAAUGCGUAGAUAUCUGCAGGAACACCCGUGGCGAAAGCGGCGAGCUGGAUCACUACUGACGCUGAAGAACGAAAGCUAGGGGAGCAAACAGGAUUAGAUACCCUGGUAGUCCUAGCCCUAAACGAUCAGGACUUGGGGUGCCACCCGUUCGGGUGGCGUCCCGGAGCUAACGCGUUAAGUCCUGCACCUGGGGAGUACGGUCGCAAAACUGAAACUC
rnacentral:rRNA from 1 species